AGCAUCCAGCCAACAUCGACCCACAAUUGCUCAGAUGAGUGAUAAAUGAUGGCGAUUUUUGAAACACUAGAAUUCUAAAACAAAACAAACAAAUCCUAGCCUGUGAGUUCCCAGGCCAGCCCGCAAGAUGGUGAGAGGGAAGAGAGGACAUGAUUGAGCUGCCUGGAAUCUGCAUCCACCUGUGUUGGAAAAACACCCAGACCCCAGCCCUGCAACUCGAAGCCGAGCUGGAGGCCAUCCCUGGGGACUUGUCACCCUAAUCACUACCAGGCUGCAAAUUAACAAACCCUCCUCUUUGCACCCUGUCUGAAGUCUGCAUAUUCCAUGAAUCCUUGAGGGAGCCUGAUUCUUAUAAGGUGUCAAAUUGGGGGCUGUGGUCAGAAUCACAGAAUGCAAAACUGUGUCUAACUAGAGGACAGAGAGAAGAGGUGUUUCAGAAGACUGAAGGAUUGGCGACAACAUUUUGGUUAAGAUACCAAUUUUGAUGUUCACCAUUGUUGGGUCCAGCUUGCAGCUGGGAAAUCUUUUGUUGAUAGAAGGGAAUAUGGGGGAUUCUUGCUGCAUUUGGAGAGAGUACUUGAUUGCUGAUUAAAAUCUGCAUCGC